rfam:Megaselia scalaris, Durham, NC isolate 2 -- Noor lab, WGS project CAQQ02000000 data, contig: ctg0000393081
GAAAAAUGGCUUUCGGAGAUUACCCAGCAGAAUAUAACCCAAAAGUCCAUGGACCUUACGAUCCAGCUCGUUACUAUGGAAAACGUAAGUUAAAGUCUUGAA